rfam:Xanthomonas oryzae pv. oryzae KACC10331, complete genome.
AUGGACCACGCGUCCACUGCGGUUGUGAGCGGCGCCGCCCGUGUCUACCUGACCGCUGCUCGCGACGUGUUGUUCGCC